rnacentral:rRNA from 1 species
UGCGUAGGCGGUUUACUAAGUCAGAUGUGAAAGCCCCGGGCUUAACCUGGGAACUGCAUUUGAUACUGGUAGACUAGAGUAUGAUAGAGGGGGGUAGAAUUCCUGGUGUAGCGGUGAAAUGCGUAGAUAUCAGGAGGAAUACCAGUGGCGAAGGCGGCCCCCUGGAUCAAUACUGACGCUGAGGUACGAAAGCGUGGGUAGCGAACA